UUUUUUUUUUUUACAGAGUGGAAUAUCCGUUUUAUUGAAAUAAAAUGGAUUUCCAUAGAUUCACUCCGUGACUCAAUUGAGAAGAUAUCUACCACCCACACAAUAGGCAAAAGAUUAGUGAUGGAAUAUGCAAAUGGAUGUAAAAAUCAUGGUAAAGGCCCUCCCAAUCCUGAAGCGAUUAACUAAAAGUCUAGCACCUUUUAAACAUCUGAACAGGAAACAUCUGUCAUCUGUUGUCUCUAAGGGCCGCCACUUCUGACUCUUUUUGUCGACACUCAAGAACAGCCAAACUUGCCGGCGGAAUGAAGUUGCCUCAGGUGAGUAAACGGGGCCAUGCUAUUUGCCAAGACACAGCUACAGGAAGAGGAGCCAGUGGGAGGUAGGAAGGCAGGGAAGGAGGCUUUGAGGGGGGCUCACUGUGCCUGAGGUGACUGUGGAAUCAACAUCCAGGUGCAGGCGGGACUCAGGCUUAGCAUCCCCAGGAGAGAGAGUAGGGGCUGGGGGCAGAGAACCUAAGGCUCAUCUCACUGACUUCCUAUAACUGAAUGAAAUGGAAAGUCCCCAUCUCUCCACACAAAUACCAAAAGUUCAGUGGCUACUCCCUUUGCAAGCCCCACUUUUCUGCUCUGCAGAUGAGAAAUGAAACUACCUACGGGUCCCCUCCUGCAAGCAGUCAGACUGGUCGUGAAC